rnacentral:lncRNA from 1 species
CCUUUGGACAGCUUCACAGACGAUGAGGCUGGAGUCCUGGAUGGAGCUUAACAAACUUGUUCCUGAAAAUGGAACACGCUUCACAGCCUCUUUCAUCUGAGGGAGAGAAUUCCUGUGCUACCAUAAAAAUAAUUUUGGAAAGAAAUGCAUCUGCUCUCAGAAAGUGUCUGCCAAGAUGUGGCCCGAUGUAAUUUAAAAUGGCUAAGACAAUCAGCUCGAAAAUUAAGGUUUCUAAUGGGAACACCUACUCAGCCCUAAUAAUAGGGGAACUACCAUCAUAAUUAUAAUGUGGUGGAAGCAGGCACAUCAUUAACUAACUUUUCUCAGCUACUGCAAUUAACGAGCAUCAAUAGAUUGAGUAAAUUAUUAAUAACCCACACAUGCUCCAAUGCACACUGCUGGCUGGUUUUUUUUUUUUUCCUCCAAGUAAGAAGCAAAAGUUAACAGCUGAUAUCCAAACAACCUUUGAUUUAUCUCUUUCACAACAGUACUGUACUUUUCAGUAAU